rnacentral:misc_RNA from 1 species
GAUGAAGAACGUAGCGAAAUGCGAUAAGUAAUGUGAAUUGCAGAAUUCAGUGAAUCAUCGAAUCUUUGAACGCACCUUGCGCCCUUUGGCUAUUCUGAAGGGCAUGCCUGUUUGAGUAUCGUGAACACCUCAACUCUCAUGGUCUGCCAUGAUGAGCUUGGACUUUGGGGGUCUUGCUGGCCUACUGUCAGCUCCUCUCAAAUGAAUCAGCUUACCAGUGUUUGGUGGCACCACAGGUGUGAUAACUAUCUACGCUUGUGGUUUUCUGCCAGGUAACCUCCAGUGAUGGAGGUUCGCUGGAGCUCACAAAUGUCUCUCCUCAGCGAGGACAGCUUUUUGAACGUUUGAUCUCAAAUCAGGUAGGUCUACCCGCUGAACUUAAGCAUAUCAAUAAGCGGAGGA